GACGAACGCUGGCGGCGUGCCUAACACAUGCAAGUCGAACGAAGAAUGUUUUUCGGAAUAUUCUUAGUGGCGGACGGGUGAGUAACGCGUGGGCAACCAACCCUGUACAGUGGGAUAACACCGGGAAACCGGUGCUAAUACCGCAUGACACCUAGAUGGUGCAUACUGUUUAGGUUAAAGGGCAAAACCGGUACGGGACGGGCCCGCGUCCCAUUAGCUGGUUGGUGAGAUAACGGCUCACCAAGGCGACGAUGGGUAGCCGACCUGAGAGGGUGGCCGGCCACACUGGGACUGAGACACGGCCCAGACUCCUACGGGAGGCAGCAGUGGGGAAUAUUGCGCAAUGGACGGAAGUCUGACGCAGCGACGCCGCGUGAGCGACGAAGGCCUUCGGGUCGUAAAGCUCUGUUCUUGGGACGAAUAAAAUGACGGUACCCAAGGAGAAAGCCCCGGCUAACUACGUG
rnacentral:rRNA from 1 species